GCGUAGGCAGCCGCCUUGCUGUAGGAGGCAGUGAGCCUAGCGGUCUGUUCUCCCUGUUCCUGUUCGUUCUGCCACGGCCGCCGGAUCAGCCGCCCGCUUAGUCUGGGCGCCGGCACCUCCUCCUCAGGCCCGCCUCCCGGGGCGACCUGUGAGCCUGCAGUGCGGGGGUCUCGGCUUUGCUGGACUCCGUGGCUGACAGUGUCACCUUGGGCAAGUCUUGCCUGCGGGCCUCAGUGUUCCUUUCUGCACCAGGGAGUUGGGGGUGGGAGGUGAAUUUAACGAUCUGAGUACCCCCCUCCCAGCUCUCACCUCUUGAGGCUUUUUGACUUUCUGGGCAGGGGUGGGGUCAUGAGACGGCCCUUCACAGUCCCCCACAGGCCACUGCUUCCCACAGGUUUUGAUCAUGAACUCUGGAGAGAAGAAGCAGGAAGCAGCAGGGCCCAGGGGUAGAAGGGCUCACAGACCCCGGGAACAGGACCGAGAUGUCCAGCUGUCCAAGGCGCUGUCCUAUGCCCUGCGCCACGGGGCCCUGAAGCUGGGGCUUCCCAUGGGGCCUGGCGGCUUCGUGCCCCUGGGCGCCCUCCUGCAGCUGCCCCAGUUCCGCAGCUUCUCAGCUGAAGACGUGCAGCGCGUGGUGGACACCAAUGGGAAGCAGCGGUUUGCCCUGCAGCCGGGGGACCCCAGCACGGGCCCUCUCAUCCGGGCCAAUCAGGGUCACUCCCUGCAGGUACCUGAGUUGGAGCUGAUGCCCCUGGAGACCCCGCGGGACCUGCCCCUGAUACUUGUCCAUGGCACAUUCUGGAAGUAUUGGCCCUCCAUCCUGCUCAAGGGCCUGUCCUGCCAGAGAAGGACGCACAUCCACCUGGCCACAGGACUGCCUGGGGACCCUGGUGUCAUCAGUGACCCCAGCUCCAGGUGUCCCUGCAGGCAUGCGGCUGAACUGCGACGUGGCUGUGUUCAUCAAUGGGCCCCUGGCCCUGGCAGAUGGCAUCCCCUUCUUCCGCUCUGCCAAUGGGGUGAUCCUGACUCCAGGGAAUGCUGAUGGCUUCCUGCUUCCCAAGUACUUCAAGGAGGCUCUGCAGCUACGCCCUACCCGAAAACCCCUCUCCUUGGCUGGUACUGAAGAGACACAGUGUCAGAGCACUCCCAAGCACAGCUCCAGGGCAAGGAGGAUGAUCCAACA